GUAAACAAACGCUGAUUUAAAAUCAAAAUAUGAAAUCAUGAUUUCAUAUUGCAUGGUCAAACGUCUACUAAGACUCUCUUUUCUUGUCUAUUAACCUAUGUUCUCCCUCAAAUCUUGCAGACGGGAAAAUUAUUCGCCAUCAUGGAAGCUAUUAUAUGAGUUGUUCAAUCUCCGAGCCGCAUAUAUAUCAUUGACGUAAUCUCCAAUCGCUUCCAGAUAUCAUCUGACUGGUCUCUUCCAUGUCUGAACCAUGUAUUUCCAACUGUCUGUUGCUCGAACCACAUCUAGAAUUUGAGAAAGGGAUUACUUGCCAAAAAUUUCUCAUAUUUCCUACAUCCAAAUUGACCGGGAAUACCUGUAAUGAUUAAAACGAGUGGUGCUCUGAUAAAUCAUGUAGCGUCUAUUGACACUGUGAAGCCGAUGAAGCAUCAUCAGAUCAGGAUGAAAGAUGACAAAAAAGUGACUUGAGAAAGGAGGUGUCACGCCCCGAACCAUGGCCUGGACGUAACAUGGC